AUUGAACGCUGGCGGCAUGCUUUACACAUGCAAGUCGAACGGUAACAGGCCGCAAGGUGCUGACGAGUGGCGAACGGGUGAGUAAUGCAUCGGAACGUGCCCAGUCGUGGGGGAUAACGCAGCGAAAGCUGCGCUAAUACCGCAUACGAUCUCUGGAUGAAAGCGGGGGACCGAAAGGCCUCGCGCGAUUGGAGCGGCCGAUGUCAGAUUAGGUAGUUGGUGGGGUAAAGGCUCACCAAGCCAACGAUCUGUAGCUGGUCUGAAAGGACGACCAGCCACACUGGGACUGAGACACGGCCCAGACUCCUACGGGAGGCAGCAGUGGGGAAUUUUGGACAAUGGGCGCAAGCCUGAUUCAGCAAUGCCGCGUGCAGGAAGAAGGCCUUCGGGUUGUAAACUGCUUUUGUGCGGAACGAAACGGUCCUGGUUAAUACCUGGGGCUAAUGACGGUACCGUAAGAAUAAGCACCGGCUAACUACGUGCCAGCAGCCGCCGUAA
rnacentral:rRNA from 1 species